UGCAGCCAUGCCGCGUGUAUGAAGAAGGCCUUUCGGGUUGUAAAGUAUUUCAGCAGUGAGGAAGGUGGGUAUGUUAAUAGCAUACUCAUUUGACGUUAGCUGCAGAAGAAGCACCGGCUAACUCCGUGCCAGCAGCCGCGGUAAUACGGAGGGUGCGAGCGUUAAUCGGAAUUACUGGGCGUAAAGCGCAUGCAGGUGGUUUGUUAAGUCAGAUGUGAAAGCCCGGGGCUCAACCUCGGAAUUGCAUUUGAAACUGGCAAACUAGAGUACUGUAGAGGGGGUAGAAUUUCAGGUGUAGCGGUGAAAUGCGUAGAAAUCUGAAGGAAUACCGGUGGCGAAGGCGGCCCCCCUGGACAGAUACUGACACUCAGAUGCGAAAGACGUGGGGAGGCAAACAAGGAGUUAGUAUACCCUCGGUAG
rnacentral:rRNA from 1 species